GCAGCUAGAGGAUUUGUUGGGUAA
rnacentral:siRNA from 1 species